UACGGAGGGUGCAAACGUUGCUCGGAAUCAUUGGGCGUAAAGCGCACGUAGGCGGACCGCUAAGUCGGAUGUGAAAGCCCUCGGCUUAACCGAGGAAGUGCAUUCGAAACUGACAGUCUUGAGUAUGGAAGAGGGUCGCGGAAUUCCCGGUGUAGAGGUGAAAUUCGUAGAUAUCGGGAGGAACACCAGUGGCGAAGGCGGCGACCUGGGCCAAUACUGACGCUGAGGUGCGAAAGCAUGGGGAGCGAACAGG
rnacentral:rRNA from 1 species